rnacentral:rRNA from 1 species
CGCAAGAUUAAAACUCAAAUGAAUUGACGGGGGCCCGCACAAGCGGUGGAGCAUGUGGUUUAAUUCGAUGCAACGCGAAGAACCUUACCUACUCUUGACAUCCAGAGNACUUUCCAGAGAUGGAUUGGUGCCUUCGGGAACUCUGAGACAGGUGCUGCAUGGCUGUCGUCAGCUCGUGUUGUGAAAUGUUGGGUUAAGUCCCGCAACGAGCGCAACCCUUAUCCUUGUUUGCCAGCGAGUAAUGUCGGGAACUCCAGGGAGACUGCCGGUGAUAAACCGGAGGAAGGUGGGGACGACGUCAAGUCAUCAUGGCCCUUACGAGUAGGGCUACACACGUGCUACAAUGGCGCAUACAGAGGGCAGCCAACUUGCGAAAGUGAGCGAAUCCCAAAAAGUGCGUCGUAGUCCGGAUUGGAGUCUGCAACUCGACUCCAUGAAGUCGGAAUCGCUAGUAAUCGUGGAUCAGAAUGCCACGGUGAAUACGUUCCCGGGCCUUGUACACACCGCCCGUCACACCAUGGGAGUGGGCUGCAAAAGAAGUAGGUAGUUUAACCUUCGGGGGGACGCUUA